GUUGUAUGGUCAAGUAAUGAAGUGCACAUGGUGGAUGCCUUGGCAGUCAGAGGCGAAGAAAGACGUGAUAGCCUGCGAUAAGCGUCGGUGAGGUGGCAAUAUCCUGUGACCCGGCGAUUUCUGAAUGGGGAAACCCAACCAACAUAAGUUGGUUAUUACACAGUUUACUGUGUAAGGCAAACCGGGAGAAGUGAAACAUCUCAGUACCCCGAGGAAAAGACAUCAAAUGAGAUUCCGUAAGUAGCGGCGAGCGAACACGGAGGAGCCGAUCAAUUUUACAGUAGCAAAAUGGCGUGGGAAAGCCAACCAUAGUAGGUGAUAGUCCUGUAUGCGAAACUGUUUAAGCGACAUAUUAAGUAGGGCGGAACACGAGAAAUUCUGUCUGAAGAUGGGGGGACCAUCCUCCAAGGCUAAAUACUCCUGACUGACCGAUAGUGAACCAGUACCGUGAGGGAAAGGCGAAAAGAACCCCUGUUAGGGGAGUGAAAUAGAACCUGAAACCGUGUGCAUACAAGCAGUCGGAGCGGACUUGUUCCGUGACGGCGUACCUUUUGUAUAAUGGGUCAGCGACUUAUAUUCUGUAGCAAGGUUAACCGAAUAGGGGAGCCGUAGGGAAACCGAGUCUUAAUAGGGCGAAUGAGUUGCAGGGUAUAGACCCGAAACCGAGUGAUCUAUCCAUGAGCAGGUUGAAAGUGCCGUAACAGGCACCGGAGGACCGAACCCACUGUCGUUGAAAAGCCAGGGGAUGACUUGUGGAUAGGGGUGAAAGGCUAAUCAAACUCGGUGAUAGCUGGUUCUCCCCGAAAGCUAUUUAGGUAGCGCCUCGGACGAACACCAUUGGGGGUAGAGCACUGUUUCGGCUAGGGGGUCACACCGACUUACCAAACCGAUGCAAACUCCGAAUACCGAUGAGUGAUAUCCGGGAGACAGACGGCGGGUGCUAACGUCCGUCGUCAAGAGGGAAACAACCCAGACCGCCAGCUAAGGCCCCAAAUUCCUAGUUAAGUGGGAAACGAUGUGGGAAGGCACAGACAGCUAGGAGGUUGGCUUAGAAGCAGCCACCCUUUAAAGAAAGCGUAAUAGCUCACUAGUCGAGUCGGCCUGCGCGGAAGAUGUAACGGGGCUCAAACUAGGAGCCGAAGCUGCGGAUUUAAUUGUUUCAAUUAAGUGGUAGGGGAGCGUUGUGUAAGCCUGUGAAGGUGCACUGUAAGGUGUGCUGGAGGUAUCACAAGAGCGAAUGCUGACGUGAGUAACGACAAAACGGGUGAAAAGCCCGUUCGCCGGAAGACCAAGGGUUCCAGUCCAACGUUAAUCGGGGCUGGGUGAGUCGACCCCUAAGGCGAGGCCGAAAGGCGUAGUCGAUGGGAAAUCGGUUAAUAUUCCGAUACUUGUUUAUGAUGCGAUGGAGGGACGGAGAAGGUUAUGCCAGCCUGGCGAUGGUUGUCCAGGUGGAAGGAUGUAGUUAGACUGAGUAGGCAAAUCCGCUCGGUUAUUAAUGAGAUCUGAUAGCAAGCUGAUUUAUCAGCGAAGUGGCAAAUACCCUGCUUCCAGGAAAAGCUUCUAAGCGAUAGUCAUAAACGAAUCGUACCCGAAACCGACACAGGUGGUCAGGUAGAGAAUACCAAGGCGCUUGAGAGAACUCUGCUGAAGGAACUAGGCAAAAUGGUACCGUAACUUCGGGAGAAGGUACGCUGCCGAUGGUGAUGAAACUUGCUUUCUGAGCUGUUGGCAGUCGCAGAUACCAGGCUGCUGCAACUGUUUAUUAAAAACACAGCACUCUGCAAACACGAAAGUGGACGUAUAGGGUGUGAUGCCUGCCCGGUGCUGGAAGGUUAAUUGAUGGGGUUAGCGUAAGCGAAGCUCUUGAUCGAAGCCCCAGUAAACGGCGGCCGUAACUAUAACGGUCCUAAGGUAGCGAAAUUCCUUGUCGGGUAAGUUCCGACCUGCACGAAUGGCAUAAUGAUGGCAGCGCUGUCUCCAGCAGAGACUCAGUGAAAUCGAAAUCGCAGUGAAGAUGCUGUGUACCCGCGGCUAGACGGAAAGACCCCGUGAACCUUUACUACAGCUUUACAUUGAACUUUGACCUAACUUGUGUAGGAUAGGUGGGAGGCUUUGAAGCAGAUACGCCAGUAUUUGUGGAGCCAACCUUGAAAUACCACCCUGGUUAUGUUGGGGUUCUAACUUAGGAUUAACAAAUCCAAGGACAAUGUAUGGUGGGUAGUUUGACUGGGGCGGUCUCCUCCUAAAGAGUAACGGAGGAGUACGAAGGUGCGCUCAGAACGGUCGGAAAUCGUUCAAAGAGUAUAAAGGCAAAAGCGCGCUUAACUGCGAGACCCACAAGUCGAGCAGGUACGAAAGUAGGUCUUAGUGAUCCGGUGGUUCUGUAUGGAAGGGCCAUCGCUCAACGGAUAAAAGGUACUCUGGGGAUAACAGGCUGAUACCGCCCAAGAGUUCAUAUCGACGGCGGUGUUUGGCACCUCGAUGUCGGCUCAUCUCAUCCUGGGGCUGAAGCAGGUCCCAAGGGUAUGGCUGUUCGCCAUUUAAAGAGGUACGCGAGCUGGGUUUAGAACGUCGUGAGACAGUUCGGUCCCUAUCUACCGUGGGCGUUGGAAAUUUGAGAGGAUCUGCUCCUAGUACGAGAGGACCAGAGUGGACGAACCUCUGGUGUUUCGGUUGUCACGCCAGUGGCAUUGCCGAGUAGCUAUGUUCGGAUGGGAUAACCGCUGAAAGCAUCUAAGCGGGAAGCCCACCUCAAGAUAAGAUUUCCCUAAAGAGCCGUUGUAGACUACGACGUUGAUAGGUUGGGUGUGGAAGUGUAGUGAUACAUGUAGCUAACCAAUACUAAUUGCUCGUUUGGCUUGACCAUACAACACCCAAG
rnacentral:rRNA from 1 species